UACAGAGGGUGCAAGCGUUAAUCGGAAUUACUGGGCGUAAAGCGUGCGUAGUCGGUUAUUUAAGUCGGGUGUGAAAGCCCCGGGCUCAACCUGGGAACUUGCAUUCGAUACUGGAUAGCUAGAGUUCGGCAGAGGGAAGCGGAAUUUCCGGUGUAGCGGUGAAAUGCGUAGAUAUCUGGAGGAAUACCGGUGGCGAAGGCGGCAUCCUGGACCGACAUUGACGCUGAACGGCGAAAGCUAGGGGAGCAAACGGG
rnacentral:rRNA from 1 species